CCUACGGGAGGCAGCAGUGGGGAAUUUUCCGCAAUGGGCGCAAGCCUGACGGAGCAAGACCGCGUGGGGGAGGAAGGCUCUUGGGUUGUAAACCCCUUUUCUCAAGGAAGAACACAAUGACGGUACUUGAGGAAUAAGCCUCGGCUAACUCCGUGCCAGCAGCCGCGGUAAU
rnacentral:rRNA from 1 species